UACAGAGGUCUCAAGCGUUGUUCGGAUUCAUUGGGCGUAAAGGGUGCGUAGGCGGCGCGGUAAGUCGGGUGUGAAAUCUCGGAGCUUAACUCCGAAACUGCAUUCGAUACUGCCGUGCUUGAGGACUGGAGAGGAGACUGGAAUUUACGGUGUAGCGGUGAAAUGCGUAGAUAUCGUAAGGAAGACCAGUGGCGAAGGCGGGUCUCUGGGACGGUACUGACGCUGAGACGCGAAAGCGUAGGGAGCGAACAGG
rnacentral:rRNA from 1 species